CCGUGUGAACGAUGAAGGUCUUCGGAUUGUAAAGUUCUGUUGUUAGGGACGAAUAAGUACCGUUCGAAUAGGGCGGUACCUUGACGGUACCUGACGAGAAAGCCACGGCUAACUACGUGCCAGCAGCCGCGGUAAUACGUAGGUGGCAAGCGUUGUCCGGAUUUAUUGGGCGUAAAGCGCGCGCAACAGACUACCGGGGCUCAACCCCGGUUCGCAUCGGAAACUGUGUAGCUUGAGUGCAGAAGAGGAAAGCGGUAUUCCACGUGUAGCGGUGAAAUGCGUAGAGAUGUGGAGGAACACCAGUGGCGAAGGCGGCUUUCUGGUCUGUAACUGACGCUGAGGCGCGAAAGCGUGGGGAGCAAACAGGAUUAGAUACCCUGGUAGUCCACGCCGUAAACGAUGAGUGCUAGGUGUUGGGGGUUUCAAUACCCUCAGUGCCGCAGCUAACGCAAUAAGCACUCCGCCUGGGGAGUACGCUCGCAAGAGUGAAACUCAAAGGAAUUGACGG
rnacentral:rRNA from 1 species